GUUUUUCAAAGACAAUGAAAAGAGCUUCAUCAAGACCUCAUCAACUGAAAGAGCAGCUCCUUCAGGCCAUCGAUGCUCAAAAUAGUAUACAGAACCCGAUGGCUCUAUUGGAUGUGAUAUGCUGCCUGGAAAAAUACCCCAUGACUAAAGAGGCUCUAGUGGAAACCAGGCUUGGAAAGUUGAUCAAUGAUGUGAGAAAAAGGAGCACAGAUGAAGAUUUUGUUAAACGUUUAAAAAACCUU